rnacentral:rRNA from 1 species
CUGCAUGAAGUUGGAAUCGCUAGUAAUCGCGGAUCAGCAUGCCGCGGUGAAUACGUUCCCGGGCCUUGUACACACCGCCCGUCACACCAUGAGAGCCGGGAACACCCGAAGUCCGUAGCCUAACAGCAAUGGGGCGCGGCCGAAGGUGGGUUCGAUAAUUGGGGUGAAGUCGUAACAAGGUACC